GGGAGGAUGUUACAGUGGUAGGGUAUGUGCUUAACAUGCAUGAGGUCCUGGGUUCAAUCCCCAGUUCCUCCA
rnacentral:tRNA from 1 species